AAAAAUAGUUCACUAGCAACUCCAGCUUCCCCUUAAUGUCUCUCUUAAUAUUGAUGACGCUUCCGCUAGAUUAAUAAUUUGCGAUGUUUUAUAAUACAAAAUAGCGUUAAAUAUUAAUGCGUUGUCGAUCGAUCACUCGUGUUUGAUUAGUCACGCAUUGUUGGCAUACUUUACUUUUUCUGCACAUUUUGCUUUUGUAAAUUCCCACUUUUUGUAAGAAAGUUGUUGAAAACGAUUGUCAAAAGUCGUCGAAGGUAACCGAACGCAAAGCAACUCGUACGCGAGCAAUAUCGAUUAUGCACUUCUUGCCACUGAUAUGGUGACCUUUUUGCUGUCACGGUGCAAUGAAUACCUUUUCACGUGCAAUCGCGCGGUCGACAGGUGGCUGGAAACAAAGCGGGAAACAAGUAUGUUUGCAUUGUCACUGCCAACCUGAUAAACAAACUCGUCUUUGUGGGCGACAGAAAUCGACUGAUAAGACGGGCACUUCCUCGAGGAUCGAUCGUGAGCCACCGUGACAGUUCGCGCAUCGUCGCGCAUCGUUUCACGUAUGUUCGCAUAGCUGUUAGGUUAUGUCUGUCGGCUACGCAGCACAUAAUACGGUACGAUAAGAUAUUUUAUGAUAACUUUAAGAGAAGCAACGAUACGGUAGUACCGCGGCAUAUGGAGUUUUACCGACUUCCAACAGUCGGACAACGGAUAUACGUAGUGAGUUUUGGGAUGUGAUGAUUUGUUAGCGAUCGGUAGUGAUCUCUCAAUGCCCGGUAUUCCAUAAAGUGGUACGUGUUUUACAAGUAUAGUCUUUUAUGAUUUAUUAUGAUUUUGUCGCAUCGGAAACAACCGCACUACUCCAACUUGACUAUUUUAUACAAAUCCAUCGAGAUAAUAAAAGUCUAAUUAUCGAAUCAAAAAAAUAUGACUAAAUUGUGCGUACAUACGAAAUAGUUUUUUGAAUAAUAAAAAUGCAGUUUUGAAGAUUA